rnacentral:tRNA from 1 species
GGGGAUGUGGCUCAGCAGUAGAGCGCUGGCCUAGCGUGUGCAAGACACUGGGUUCGAUCCUCAGCACCCCA